rnacentral:rRNA from 1 species
AGAGUUUGAUCCUGGCUCAGAUUGAACGCUGGCGGCAUGCUUUACACAUGCAAGUCGAACGGCAGCACGGGGGCAACCCUGGUGGCGAGUGGCGAACGGGCGAGUAAUACAUCGGAACGUAUCCUUGAGUGGGGGAUAACGCAGCGAAAGUUGUGCUAAUACCGCAUGAGCUCUGAGGAGGAAAGUGGGGGACCGUAAGGCCUCACGCUGAAGGGGCGGCCGAUGUCCGAUUAGCUAGUUGGUGAGGUAAAGGCUCACCAAGGCUUCGAUCGGUAGCUGGUCUGAGAGGAUGAUCAGCCACACUGGGACUGAGACACGGCCCAGACUCCUACGGGAGGCAGCAGUGGGGAAUUUUGGACAAUGGGGGCAACCCUGAUCCAGCCAUGCCGCGUGAGUGAAGAAGGCCUUCGGGUUGUAAAGCUCUUUCGUGAGGGAAGAAACGGCCAUAGUGAAUAGCUGUGGUUACUGACGGUACCUCAAGAAGAAGCACCGGCUAACUACGUGCCAGCCGCCGCGGU